UACGUAGGGGGCAAGCGUUGUCCGGAAUCAUUGGGCGUAAAGAGCGUGUAGGCGGCCCGGUAAGUCCGCCGUGAAAGUCCAGGGCUCAACCCUGGGAUGCCGGUGGAAACUGUCGGGCUCGAGUCCGGAAGAGGCGAGUGGAAUUCCUGGUGUAGCGGUGAAAUGCGCAGAUAUCAGGAGGAACACCAAUGGCGAAGGCAGCUCACUGGGACGGUACUGACGCUGAGACGCGAAAGCGUGGGGAGCAAACAGG
rnacentral:rRNA from 1 species